UGGUUUUAUGAGAGAUGGUUGGCAUCUCCCCUGACAGGGACGGGAACAACUUUCGAGCUUACCUGUUACUACACAUCCGGUUAAAACUAAAUACACGGUUGCAUUAAAUCGUUUUUU
rnacentral:ncRNA from 1 species